GAACGCCGUAUGAAGCGAAAGUUUCACGUACGGUGUGAAGUGGGGGAACAGCUAGCGAUAACUUCAAAGGCUUACCUAUCACUAU
rfam:Bacillus sp. FJAT-27997 Scaffold1, whole genome shotgun sequence.